rnacentral:rRNA from 1 species
AUAUCAAUAAGCGGAGGAAAAGAAACCAACAGGGAUUGCCUUAGUAACGGCGAGUGAAGCGGCAAUAGCUCAAAUUUGAAAGCUGGCGUCUUCGACGUCCGCGUUGUAAUUUGUAGAGGAUGCUUCGGCGAAGACUCCUGCCUAAGUCCCCUGGAACGGGGCGUCAUAGAGGGUGAGAAUCCCGUAUGUGGCGGGCAGUCUAAGCCAUGUGAAGCUCCUUCGACGAGUCGAGUUGUUUGGGAAUGCAGCUCUAAAUGGGAGGUAAAUUUCUUCUAAAGCUAAAUAUUGGCCAGAGACCGAUAGCGCACAAGUAGAGUGAUCGAAAGAUGAAAAGCACUUUGGAAAGAGAGUUAAAAAGUACGUGAAAUUGUUGAAAGGGAAGCGCUUGCAACCAGACUCGCUCGUAGUUGCUCAGCCGGCCUCUUGGCCGGUGUACUCUUCUACGAUCGGGCCAGCAUCAGUUCGGGCGGCAGGAUAAAGGUGUCGGGAAUGUAGCACCCUUCGGGGUGUGUUAUAGCCCGGCGCGGAAUGCUGCCAGCCUGGACUGAGGAUCUCGCUUCGGCAAGGAUGCUGGCGUAAUGGUUGUAAGCGGCCCGUCUUGAAACACGGACCAAGGAGUCUAACAUCUAUGCGAGUGUUUGGGUGUCAAACCCAUGCGCGUAAUGAAAGUGAACGGAGGUGGGAACCCCUCACGGGGUGCACCAUCGACCGAUCCUGAUGUCUUCGGAUGGAUUUGAGUAAGAGCAUAGCUGUUGGGACCCGAAAGAUGGUGAACUAUGCCUGAAUAGGGUGAAGCCAGAGGAAACUCUGGUGGAGGCUCGCAGCGGUUCUGACGUGCAAAUCGAUCGUCAAAUUUGGGUAUAGGGGCGAAAGACUAAUCGAACCAUCUAGUAGCUGGUUCCUGC